UACUACCUGUUAACUAUGAUGGCUUUAUAAUUAAGCCUUGCGACCAUGGCUUUACAACUAAGCCUUGCUAUAUCUCACGUGACAAGUGAUGAAAGAAUCUGGUUUGUGGUUAUGUUCGAAGUCGUAUCCUCUGUUUGGUUUUGUUUCUGCAUUUUUUGAUUUCCUUUUACCUUCCUCGGACCACCUUGUUUGAAUGGCAUUGGAGAUAGGCAGGAAGAAAUUCCAUAUGUCCUGUCAAUGCCCAACCAUGAUAUUACAAUGUGAAUGUUUUGUACCGUGUGGGGUUGAUGCUGAACUGCAAUAUUCUGUGGUUGUUGGUUGCAGAGAAGAGGAGCAUAAACGGAAGUGGCCAGUGCUAAGAACCCAAGGGAAAACAAGUAACAAACGACUGAAAACCCUCAAGUCUAGAAGAAGGUGGUAAAGAUCCCCAAUUCCAGUGUCCUACAUGUUUAAUUGGAUGACAAUAUCUUCAAAGGAGUGUACUACAAGUUUGAACUAUGUUUAAUUGGAUGACAAUAGCUUCUUUUCCUAUUGAAUGCUAUGUUUCCGCUGAAUAAGUUUGAACUACAAGUUUUUUUUCCUAGAUAGCAAUUUCAAUAAAUGAGGCGGUCUUCUUGUGGUUUUUAUCAUACAAACUGUUUGUUCAUAGUGAAGUCUAUAUGCAUUAUGAUUGCUACCUUAAGAUUGUAAUUUAAUGUACCAUUUCCAUAGUUGAUGUUGUGAAGUUGACAAAGGAUUGGCGUAUUUAUGAUGUUGUUGUGUUGACAGUACAAGAACAUGUUUACUUGGUAAGGGAUGUCAUUCAAAUAGAAAGAAUAACAUGGUGGGAAGGUGAAAAUUGUGGGAAAGUGAAGAAGUCAGCCAAAGGCUGUUGCUUGCUCCUCUUGUUGCUGUUCAUGGACUGAAAAAUCUGCUCUAGCUCCUUCACAAAGUUUAUGGCACCCCCAACAAUUGAUGCUUUGUCCCCCUGUAACAAAUAUUUAUAACAAUAUUAAUUUGGUCCAAUCCCCAAAAAAAAUUCCGUUUAAAAGAACAUAUGGGUAGAAAUCCAUGUGAGUUUUUUGGGUUAAUCCCAAAAACAUUUCAAUCUAAAGAAAAUGGAGAUGCAAGGGACUUCUAGUUGUA